rfam:Gossypium raimondii chromosome 10, whole genome shotgun sequence.
AUCCCAUGAUGAAGAAACUUGCGAAGGAAUUCCUUGAAUCUUUCCCAUGCCUCGUAUAAGGACUCGUCAUCCAAUUGUUGAAAAGUAGUUAUAUCAUUUCGCAACUU